UAGGAUGACAGCGAUGGGAUUCCCUGGUCAGAGGAGCGGGUGGUGCGGAAGGUCCUUUAUUUAUCUCUGAAGGAGUUCAAGAACGCACAGAAGCGGCAGCAUGGCGAUGGCAUUAGCGGGAGCCUCAAAGCAGUGAAUGGACUUCUCACUAAUGGCCAAUCUAAAGGAUUAGGACCAGGAUCAGAACAGCUGGAGAAUGAGAAGGACGAUGCAUCGCAGGUGUCGUCAACGAGCAACGAUGUUAGUUCUUCAGAUUUUGAAGAGGGGCCCUCGAGGAAAAGGCCAAGGCUGCAAGCACAAAGGAAGUUUGCUCAGUCCCAGCCAAACAGUCCCAGCACAACUCCAAUAAAAAUAGUGGAGCCGUUGUUACCCCCUCCUGCCACUCAGAUUUCUGACCUCUCCAAAAGGAAGCCCAAGACAGAAGAUUUUCUCACUUUCCUCUGUCUUCGAGGUUCUCCAGCCCUGCCCAGCAACAUGGUAUAUUUUGGAAGCUCUCAGGAUGAUGAGGAUGAAGAGGAGGAGGAGGAGGAGACAGAGGACACAAAACCAACCACAAACAAUGCUUCAUCAUCAUGCCAGUCAACCCCUAGGAAAGGAAAAACACUUAAACAUGUACCAAAUGGGCAAG